CUGGCCAUGCUGUCAGGGGCACUGAAUGUGCUGGCUGUUGUAGCAGGACUGAGAUGAGUGCUGAGAUUUGACCUGCCACCCCGCUCCUCCUGUUGUAAACAAAAAAGUCUUUUGGGGAAAUUCUCACAGUACAGUGGAGAAAGCACUAGUCAAAUCACAGGGAAUAAAGCAUGAUGGGAGAGGAGCUUUUGGGCAAACACCUACCUCACCUGAUGAUGAUGAUAAACACCAGUGGCUGGAAAUCUCUGUUGAGACCAAUGUCUGCUUGUAUGGAUCUUGAUCUCUUUCACCAAACCACUUUGCCAGGGACUCUGCAAAUGUAACUUUUGUGUUAAUAAAUAUUAAAGGCACUUCCA
rnacentral:lncRNA from 1 species